UUUAGAUCAUAAAAGCUUUUGUAUCUACAGAGGUGAAAAAAAACUGAUUAUACAGAGUGGGACAGUGGCUGAUUUAGUCUGUAAAUUGCAUUACUGCUACAUUUCUUCUUACAAAAAAUAUGACAAUAAGACAACCUACCUUCACAUUUAUUCAAGGGUAAUAUAUUAGUUCUGUCAGUGAAAUACGAACAACUCCUCUCCUCUCUCACCACCGGUCUUUUAAGCAUGGUUGUGUUUCUGCUCUCUUAAAACACCUGUGUGGAAAUACCACCCACCACCCGAUCUCUUCCUUCCAUUCCAAACAUCUUCAGCAUUUCCGCUCGUAUAAAUCAACCCCGGGACUUUUGCUUAUCUGGCUGUCUGUACUGGAUACUGGAAGGAGACGGUAUACACGCUUUCCCAUGCGCCUGUAUCUUUCUGGAGCUUUCGGGAUGGAUAUUUCAUGUGCUUUUCCUAGCAGAGGCCUCUCAUCAGGUCUCCUGGAGAAGACAGGGAUACUUCCAGGAUCGGUCCUUUGACCUUUAACCCUUAUCUCACUCCAGACCCACGUGGCUUCUCAUGGGAAAUUGUGUUUCUUUUUGCAUAUGUCAUGCUGAAGCAUGUCUAUUUUCCCACUGUCUUUUGACGCACAGGUUUCUUCCUCAGCUAGUCUUACAAAAGUCCCCUUCAGGAUGUCCGUCCACUGACACAAACUCAGUCUCUCAGCUAUCCCAGAUUACUUGAAGGGCUCCUUGAAUUAUCUCUGACUGAUUGACACAGAGCAGACAGAAACAUGAGGUGAGUGUGUUCCUUUUCCAGAACUGUCUACUGCGGCUUUCGACCUCAGACUUGUCCCGUUUCCCUGAAAAAGAAAAAGUAACUCCGAUUAACCUUUGUAUUAGGUUUGGGUUAAACUGACCCAUUUAAAACUUUUAGUAAAAGAAAAAUGACACUUUUGAGAUAUGUAUUUCAUAACCAACCAACUAAACCAGUGUCCAUUUGCCCAUUGUCUGCAUUUUCUUUAUGUCAUUUUGCCUGUAUGGUUUCUUCAAAUAUAAGAUAAAGAUGAAAAAUAAUCAAGAAUGUCAGUUCAAAACAAUAAAUAUCAAUUAUCUACAUGAAAACCUUUUUUCAUUGUAAUUUUUCACAGAUAGACAUGAUUUAUGCCCCCAAUGCCUCCAUCAUUGUGGAUUUAUAUAAAUCACAUCAUUGUUAAAUGUGAUCUAGCAGAGGUAAAUGGCAACCAUUAACUAUAUACAUUGUUUAAAUUGUUUGGAACUGAAAUAAAGAUAAUAUAUACAGUAUUUCUGCAUAUUGCUUAUUUGAUGCAGGUUAACAUUUUCACCCAGAUUAACAGGUGCUAAUGAGUAAAAAAGGGUUAAAGAGGGCACCUGCGAUUUAGGAUGUAAGGCCCUGCUGCUUUGCUGAGCUUUUCUUCACACCUUCAGAGACCAGGAAAGUAAAUUUUAAAAACGGCAUGCCUAGUGUGCCACUGUGAAGUUCUGCAGCUUUAUCCCAAAGGAAUCGUUAACAUGCUUGUUCUUGUGCAGUUUGUGAAUGGUCCAAGUUUCUUUUUUUUUUCAAAUGUCAGUCGCCAGUGACACUGGAAAGACUAUUCCUGUGUCAGGUUUGUGGCCAUUUCCGACUUGCAUUGAACCGCGUGAAUGUGGCUGCUGAUUUAUUUCACCUCAAGAUACUGGCAGGUUUUCUGUGUUCCUUUUUGUUCUGUGCAGGAAGGACAGAAAAUGGGAGAAGUCUUCCAUUUCAGGGGGUUUCAGGGAGAAAGGCAGCCUGAAAGGGAUGCUGUGAAGCAGGAAGCACUUUUUCAUUCAUUUGGCUGGGGGGAUGUUGCCGUCCAACGCAGACUGUUUUCCCUGAGCCCAAAUGCUGAACGAAUAUGAAUCUCACGUUCCUGUUUCACCAUACUUUUUUCGUUAUCUUGUGUACCAGAUUUAAGGAAGUGGUCAGUUUGGCUUAUUGAAGGUGAAAUGAACAGGAAAGACGUUGGAGUCAAACUAAUGGAACGUCUGAGUCAAAGUAAUGAAACGUGUGGAUCCUGUGGUGGGGGACCAAAUCCCAUCCUACUUCACUGCAUUCAAAUGAAAGAGCUUUAAAGAAACAUGCCACCAUGAUGUUUCAAGUGUAAAAAUAUGAACGGGUUAUUUUUAACCUACAGAGACAUCUUUAUGUGUUUUUUAUUUUUGCAAAUUCACUCUUCAAAAUUGAUUUUUGCAUUGCUUUUAUUGUAUUGCUCUUAACAGCAAUGUAAGCUUUUAUCUUGUGAAAAGUGAAAGUGAUGCCCCUUAGUCUCAAUCCCACUUAGCGCUGACAUGUUUCAAACGGAUGUGCUGACAGACCAAGAGCAGCUGAAAAUACAAGCCAUUUCUAGUACUUGUGGAAAAGUGAUAGAUGUCACAUUGAUUGGUAAUGAUAAGAUAUUACAAUCUUCAGAUGCAGAAAGAAGCCUUGUCCUGGCUGCUUCCUUGACCUUCUGGUGAACAGAUGGCCACGUGGUCAUUCCUGCGCCACUGUGAGUUCAUUCGGAGGUAACUCUGGUUCAUUCAUCAGACCUCUUCUGUGCUGACACAAAUUAGGAUAAGCAUAACCUAUAUACCCAUUUACAUCUCUGGAAUUUGUGGAAUAGAACAUAAUUUGUUAGAUUCAGAGUUUGCACAAAGCCCUUUUGUUUAUUAAUGCAAUGUUUUAAUUUUGUUUUGGCUAUUAAACAAUCAUAGAUUGUGUGUGUGUGUGUGUGUGUGUGUGUGUGCGUGUGGGUGCGUGUGCGUGUGUGUGUGUGUGUAACUACAAAUUAUUAUUAUACAGCAAGCAUUUGCAUGGUAGGCCAUGGUCACUAUUAGUUGCCAUAUGCAUUGUUAAGUAGUCAAAGGAUAUCACUCAUUGCAUGAAUCACAAGUCCAGUCAGCGCAGAAAAGCUUACCUUGCAUUACCCUCCCGCAAUAUUCCCAUACAUUGAUGGAGGCCACCUUUUUUUUGUUCUUGGAGUGAAAUACACACAAUCGGGGGAAGUAGCCUACAGAUUGCAUCCUUCCCAAGAAAAACUAAUGCUCAGCAAGCAGCGAGAAAGAAGAGCAUUGCGCUCCCCGGGGGGGCCUAUCACUGUGAGAAGAUCCUGUGCUUUCUCAAGCGACGGCACGCUCCCCCGCUGAUGUUCUCGCGGGGACCCCAGGAGCGCAGCGCCUCUCGCUGGCCCCGUGGAAGCCCCAGCCGUUCCUGUCAGGAAGCUCGCGGCCUCGCGGCCCUUGACCGGCUCCAUUGAUGCCAGGGGCGCGGCCCUUCCAGCUGAGCGGGUGGCGUCUUGAACGCUCGGGUCUGGCGGCUUCUCAGGAGGAAUGGAAUCUGCGACAUGGCGGAGACUUCGUUCAUAAAACACAUUUUUAAGGGGUUUAAAUCUUUUCGAUCCAAAAUGUUUAUGUUUAUGUGACUGUGCAUGUACGCACUGCUUUAUAUUUCUCCUAAGGGUGAGAAAUUAUAUGUUGCAUAUAUUCUAUAUGUCUAUAUGUUCUGUUUAAUGUUAAUGCUACAUGAAGACUUUGAGAUAUGAAUGCCGCUAGGCCUGUUGAAUCUUGGAAUUAAAGUGAAAGAGCAGGAAUCCAGAUUGUUGGAUCUUAUGCAGGCUUAAUUUUCCAGAGAGGGUUCACCACAUACUGUACAUUUUUAAAAAGCUACCAUCCAGUCGUUGCAACAACUGACCAAAUUUGUUAUGUGGGGAACAAUCAAUGUAAUCAGACCAGCCGUAACUCAAUGAUUUAUGUAUUUGAUGAUGAUUUAUUUGUAAGAGAAACCUCAAAUUUUGUUUCAUGUAUCUUCAAGGUGUCUUUUGGGGCGGCAUUGUAGUAUUGGUAAGGAGCUGCUCUGGUCAUCUAAAAGUCUCAGGUUUUAUUCCAGGGUAGAACAUGAUGAUGUUGCACCCUUGAGCAAGGUACUUAACCUGCAUUGCUUAUGUAUAUACCCAGCUGAAUAAAUGGAUGCAAUGGAAAUGCUAUGUAAAAGUUGUGUAAGUCGCUCUGUAUAAGCGCGUCUGCUAAAUGUCUGUAAUGUAGUGUAGUGUUUUCUGAAGGUAAACUGUUAGAGGUCUAUAUUUGUCCCUGCUUUUGCUAACUAUGUAUCUCACCUGCAGUGUGGGGAGCCCUGGUCCUCUGCCCAGGAGUGUUGAGACCUCCAAAGAGUAGGACAUGCAUUUUAGUCCGCACAAGAUAAAAGCAGGGACUAGUCUAUUUAAGGUCCUGUGGCUCAGGUCUGAAGAGCCUCUUGCCAUCCUGUUUCCUCUUAGAAGCUGUCUGGUUGGUGUCUGAAGUCUCACUCACCUUGCUGAUGCUGACCAGCCCGUCAAAUGACUUCACUCUAAGCUCUGGCCAUUCCCCGCUUCCCACCCAACACUCCACCAAUCUCUCUUUUAGGUGAUCCAUCAUCUCUUGUCUCUAGAGAGUUGUCAGACUUACUUACCAAAACCACUUUUCUUUUUUAUGCACUUGGGGGGGGGUGGGGUACCAAAAUGUUGUACCCCUCAUAAAAACUAAUGAAAAAUCAAAGGCUUCAUUUUCUCUAAAUAUGAGAACUUUUAACUGUUCCACUGGUGUUAGCAUCCAAUUCACAGGUGCCACUCAACCUUUACGGCAAUCUCAGUGGACCCUGUGUGCCAAAGGUACUGUAGAAGACCAAGAUCCUCAAUAUCAUAUUACUUUAAUUAUUGACCGCUCUCUAUUAAACAGUAAUUACACUCUAGAUCACAUUUUUUAAGCUGUAAGUGUAUUUAUAUGCAUACUUUAUAAUGAAACAUUUUAAUCUAUACAGCUGUUUAAACAUUUCUGAAAUAGUAUCAUUUGGCAGAAAAAAAAACUGGUAGAAAAGCAUCUUGGUAGCUAGUACCCCCUAACAUUAGAAAUUUUCUUUCUGCUUUCCACUCUGGCCCUGUCCCACUUAUGAGUACUACUUUGGAGGUACUACUACAUCAUAUAAAUUUUAAUCAAGAUAUCCGGCAGGAAAAUUGUUGCCGCUCACAAAUUAAUCCGUUGACUUUUUAAUUUGAUAGCACCUGAUUGUUAAGACUCACUGAUGUCCUUGUUCUCGGCCUGGAAGAUCGGAACAACAUGGUGGCCUGUUGAUAAACUUUCUCAUAUUCACCCCAAACUGCCCACUAAAAUAUGUUUCUGGAAACAUUUGAGGUGAGUAAUAAGCCAUGUAAUUGCUGAAUCUUGAUUCAUAUCUGAUCUGCAAUGCCUAGUUUGACAGUUUGAUCUUAGUUUCAUGUGCCUGGUGUAGCAGGGUAGUAUGAAUUAAUUUGCAUAGAAAAUACUUUAUGCAAAUGAGAUGGACAUGUACAGGAAGCAUUCUUCAAAAUUGUGUAGCAGACAGAGCCAGGCUGAAAGAGCGAGUGCAAUUACUCUUUAAACGCUACCAUUCUAUAGAUGUAACAGUUUGACAUAUACAUUAAUACACAGUCAUUGUAGCUUUGUUUGAAGGCAAAACAUUUUUUUCAUUUGCUAACUUGUUAAUACUUACUUGUUAUUUAGCUUCUACUAGCUAAACAUGUGGUUUGUAUGUAAUUAUUAUUUUACAAAUUACUUACAAAUUGUUAGAAAAAAAGAAAUUGUGGAUAAUGCUGAAAAUAUUGUUGGGACAGUCCAUUGUCACAAAAAAUUCUAAAUUAAGAAUUCCAAUAUAGUGAAUAUUCAUACAUGUGAAACAUUUUUGUUGUUCCCAUAUCCUCCUUCGACCUACAAGCAGCAAUUCAUUCAUGUCCCCUGUUGACAUGAGCCUUUGGUCUUAAUUUCAAAAACCAUAUAUUCUACUAUGCUGAAACCUACACUACAGGGGACAUUAAAUAAAAAUAAAAUUAUGUUCAAAAAAUAUUUUCCCUGCAACAUGUUUUUUGCUAUCCAAGAUUUUUUUCUGCAGGAUUUCAGAAGGAUAUUGUUCACAUCACAGACAUCCCUUGAAUGGGUUUGUUGCACUCUCUAGGGUACACGAUGUUGACCUUUUCACAUUUUCUUUACUUGGCCUUACGUGUUGGCAAGGGUGCAAGCUAUUCUGAUUGUUUAUUUUGCCACAGAGACCCAGUGUUUGUUGGAUUCCAAGGCUCCACCCCAACCUUGAAAAACAACCUACCGACGCCACUUGAACAUGUCACGCUCAGAGGAACGCCCACGGAGUAAAGCCAACAAGCAAGUCAUGCUAACCUGACGCUGGUCUUUGCUGUGGUCUGUCGGGGGGACGUCAGCUGCAACAAAUGAUCAGGCUGAAUCCCUCCUUGCCUUUGUGGAUAUCUUCCUGAGAAAGGAUGCAGGCCUGUCCAGACACAUGUCCUGUUGAUAAACACGCACUUCACAAGUUCCGCCCUGGUCCCCGUCCAAAGUUUGCGACAAGCUAUAUCGCGGGCAAGACAUCGUCCCCGAGAAGGACCUCAUAACUCAUAAAAUCUGUCCAACGUAUUGUCAUAUUUCUACAUGUAUCUUCU